UACAGAGGGUGCGAGCGUUAAUCGGAAUUACUGGGCGUAAAGCGUGCGUAGACGGUUAUUUAAGUCGGGUGUGAAAUCCCCGGGCUCAACCUGGGCACUGCAGUUGGAACUGGAAAGCUAGAGUAGGGUAGAGGGGUGUGGAAUUCCAGGUGUAGCGGUGAAAUGCGUAGAUAUCUGGAGGAACAUCAGUGGCGAAGGCGACACCCUGGACUCAUACUGACACUGAGGUGCGAAAGCGUGGGGAGCAAACAGG
rnacentral:rRNA from 1 species